CUGUCAUUCAAAACAUAACAGAGAAUGACUCGAGAACUAAAUUUUAAACAAAUCCAACAACACGGAGACAAAAUACAGGCGAAGUUGGGGUGAACGCAGCUAGUCUUUGUUGAUAUAUCGCGUCAAAGGAAGGAAAGCAGCAGCAACAGCAGAAAUGUAUAAAUGAAAAUGAAAAAAAUAGCUGAAUGGAAUGAAAACGAAGUUUGCAGCUUCGGUAAAGUAUUGUUUUUGGGAUCAGACCAAAGCGAUCAUCUCACCAUAAUCACCAACAACAACUUCAACACGAACGUAACCAAGUUGAAUAACCAAAAAAACUCAUCCAUCUCAACAGUCAUGAUUGCCCACGAAGUUAGGUGUGUCUGCUAGAGGGAACGAAAGCUUGGUUUUGAUUACUUGAAACACGUGUUUCUGACUUUCAUUCAACCAUAUGGCUAAACAAUUCCAACAUUGUUGCUGAAUUUUUUCAUCAUAAUAUGGAGUUGUCUUCAUAAACAAUUUUCGUAUGAGACUUUUUCACCACCUGCAAACAAAAAUGUUUUUCAUUUAAAUAGAAUACCAGUUUGAUAUAAAAAAGCUAAUUUUUAUUCAUAAUUUUAAUUUUUAAAACGCGUUCAUUCCGACUGAAAAUCAGCUGAAAUGCCGCCAGCGCGGACAUGUCAAUGUGUUGUUUUUAAAAACAUUCAACUGAUCCGUGAACACAACAAGAAUAAGAUUUAGAAUAAGAAUAAGAAUAAGCUGAUUUAGAUAAAAUGGCGCAAGAAAAGUAGUUCGAAUGAAAUCGAAACAGUGUUGAGCUUCUCUCUCACCAAGUUUCAUGGUCCCAUCGAUACUUGUUCUGUUUCCUAGCAACGAUAAAGUUCGGUCUGUACGUGAAGCAUGUGGCAACUGUCACGUUAUUUAAAUGCGGGAAACCGGCAAAACAGAUCUACGAGCUGCUCAAACCGUUUCCUAUCGAUGAACGAUUCGCGUUCCGUACACUACAACAGUACGGUGACCGGAAUAAAUCGCCACAGUAAACAACUGCAACAGAAACAACCGCUUAGAAAAAGUGUAGUAGGCUAGAAAUAUUUGGCGCGGGAAAAACAUCAUGUGCCUCACAUUUCUAUUAUAAAUUUAUUCUCUUGUUCUCGUUUUUCGAAAUUUAUUCUGAGGACAAUGUAAUGGGGACGAAGUCCCCAUUUGGCGAGGAUAAGGAAUCGAGGCGGCCCAUGCCGCCAAGAUGACGCAAUCCGAGUCCACCGCCGACCCGCCGUCGGAAGCGGCGGUGUCUCGCACGCAAACCUGGGAUCCACUGAUUGCCCGGUUAGUUUGAAACAUAGGAUACGAUCCUUUAGCAAUGUCCGACCGAGCUAUAGCGAGCGUCGGACGGUAUACGUCUGCCCGGGGCGUUACGUUUGCCUGGGGCGAUACGUUUGCCCGGUUAAUUCUUGUUUUGAAAUACAAUACCGCGCCACAAUAUUUAUAGCCUACUACACAUUUUAUAAGCGGUGGUUUCUGUUGCAGUCGUUUUCUGUGGCGAUUUAUUCCGGGAACCCAACAGUACAAAGAAACAGCUGGUGUGGGCGAUAGGCCAAUAAAGAGAAGUCCGUGGUCGGUAGGCUGUACAAUGUUAUCUACGUUUUCAUGAACGCGUUCAACGCAACUCUCUUCGGAAACAAAAACGAGACUGACAACAAACCUGCCAGACUUCAUCUCCCCAAAUUACGUCCCUGUGGAUGUUCUCGUUGGAAUUACCAAUCGUUAAAGAAUUCUAUCGAGAAGCUGCAGCGAUUGACGAUUGGCUUUAGUGUUUUCGACUCUGCGUGAAGAAGCGAAUACAUUUGCCAAAAAAUGUUAAUUCUGGAUACUUUUAUACAUUCAAUAAAAGUUUUGGGUUUCUAUCUUAUUUUGUUCCCUAGUUAUGA